rnacentral:misc_RNA from 1 species
GAUGAAGAACGUAGCGAAAUGCGAUAAGUAGUGUGAAUUGCAGAAUUCAGUGAAUCAUCGAAUCUUUGAACGCACAUUGCGCCCGCCAGUAUUCUGGCGGGCAUGCCUGUUCGAGCGUCAUUUCAACCCUCAAGCCCCCGGGCUUGGUGUUGGGGAUCGGCGUGCCCUCGCGGCGCGCCGUCCCCUAAAUCUAGUGGCGGUCUCGCUGUAGCUUCCUCUGCGUAGUAGCAACACUCGCACUGGAUCGCAGCGCGGCCACGCCGUUAAACCCCCCACUUCUGAAAGUUUGACCUCGGAUCAGGUAGGAAUACCCGCUGAACUUAAGCAUAUCAAUAAGCGGAGA